UACGUAGGGUGCAAGCGUUGUCCGGAAUUAUUGGGCGUAAAGAGCUCGUAGGCGGUCUGUCACGUCUGCUGUGAAAACUCGGGGCUUAACCCCGGGCCUGCAGUGGGUACGGGCAGACUAGAGUGCGGUAGGGGAGACUGGAAUUCCUGGUGUAGCGGUGAAAUGCGCAGAUAUCAGGAGGAACACCGGUGGCGAAGGCGGGUCUCUGGGCCGUAACUGACGCUGAGACGCGAAAGCGUGGGGAGCAAACAGG
rnacentral:rRNA from 1 species